AUUGAACGCUGGCGGCAGGCCUAACACAUGCAAGUCGAACGGUAACAGGAAGAAGCUUGCUUCUUUGCUGACGAGUGGCGGACGGGUGAGUAAUGUCUGGGAAACUGCCUGAUGGAGGGGGAUAACUACUGGAAACGGUAGCUAAUACCGCAUAACGUCGCAAGACCAAAGAGGGGGACCUUCGUGCCUCUUGCCAUCGGAUGUGCCCAGAUGGGAUUAGCUAGUAGGUGGGGUAACGGCUCACCUAGGCGACGAUCCCUAGCUGGUCUGAGAGGAUGACCAGCGACACUGGAACUGAGACACGGUCCAGACUCCUACGGGAGGCAGCAGUGGGGAAUAUUGCACAAUGGGCGCAAGCCUGAUGCAGCCAUGCCGCGUGUAUGAAGAAGGCCUUCGGGUUGUAAAGUACUUUCAGCGGGGAGGAAGGGAGUAAAGUUAAUACCUUUGCUCAUUGACGUUACCCGCAGAAGAAGCACCGGCUAACUCCGUG
rnacentral:rRNA from 1 species